AUUGAACGCUGGCGGCGCGCUUAACACAUGCAAGUCGAGCGACGCGGCGGACGGGUGAGUAACACGUGAGUAACCUGCCUUAGACAUUGGGAUAGCCUCGGGAAACCGGGAUUAAUACCAAAUGGUCUAAGAUGGACUCGGGUCCCAUUAGCUAGGUGGUGAGGUAACGGCCCAACAAGGCGCCGAUGGGUAGCCGGCCUGAUAGGGUGAACGGCCACAUUGGAACUGAGAAACGGUCCAAACUCUACGGGAGGCAGCAGUGGGGAAUAUUGCACAAUGGAGGGAACUCUGAUGCAGCGACGCCGCGUGAACGAAGAAGGCUUUCGAGUCGUAAAGUUCUUUUAUAUGGGAAGCGGUACCAUAAGAAAAAGCCCCGGCUAACUACGUGCCAGCCGCCGCGGUAAUUC
rnacentral:rRNA from 1 species